AGUGGGGAAUAUUGCGCAAUGGGCGAAAUGCCUGACGCAGCAACGCUGCCUGCAGGAUGAAGGCCUUCGGGUUGUAAACUGCUGAAGAUAGGGAAAAAAUCUUGAUGGUACCUAUCGAGAGCACCGGCUAACUACGUGCCAGCAGCCGCGGUAAUACGUAGGGUGCAAGCGUUACUCGGAUUUACUGGGCGUAAAGCGCGCGUAGGUGGUAAUUUAAGUCGCACGUCAAAUUUCAGGGCUCAACCCUGAAACUGCGUGCGAAACUGAAUUACUUGAGGAUGCCAGAGACAAGUGGAACACCUGGUGUAGGGGUAAAAUCCGUUGAUAUCAGGUGGAACACCGAUGGCGAAGGCAGCUUGUUGGGGCAUUCCUGACACUGAAGCGCGAAAGCGUGGGGAGCGAUCGGGAUUAGAUACCCCGGUAGUCCACGCCGUAAACGAUGCUGACUAGAUAUUGGAAGUUCGACCCUUUCAGUAUCGAAGCUAACGCGUUAAGUCAGCCGCCUGGGGAGUACGGUCGCAAGACUAAAACUCAAAGGAAUUGACGGGGACCCGCACAAGCGGUGGAGCAUGUGGUUUAAUUCGACGAUAAGCGAGGAACCUUACCAGGGCUUGUAUCCAGGGAAGUUGCUAGAAAUAGCGAUGUGCCCGCAAGGGAACCCUGUGACAGGUGCUGCACGGCUGUCGUCAGCUCGUGUCGUGAGAUGUACGGUUAAAUCCGGUAACGAGCGUAACCCGUAUGGUGUGUUAUAUGUCUCACGCCAGACUGCCCGCUUUAAGUGGGAGGAAGGUGCGGAUGACGUCAAGUCAGCGUGGCUCUUACGCCCUGGGCGACACACGUGCUACAAUGGGGUCAACAAAGCGUUGCAAAGCUGUAAAGCGAAGCUAAUCGCAUCAAAUGACCUCAAAGUUCGGAUAGGAGUCUGCAACUCGACUUCUUGAAGCUGGAAUCGCUAGUAAACGCGUAUCAGCCAUGGCGCGUUGAAUACGU
rnacentral:rRNA from 1 species